rnacentral:rRNA from 1 species
GCUGGCGGCAAGCCUAACACAUGCAAGUCGAACGGAUCCUUCGGGAUUAGUGGCGGACGGGUGAGUAACACGUGGGAACGUGCCUUUUGGUUCGGAACAACUCAGGGAAACUUGAGCUAAUACCGAAUGUGCCCUUCGGGGGAAAGAUUUAUCGCCAUUAGAGCGGCCCGCGUCUGAUUAGCUAGUUGGUGAGGUAAAGGCUCACCAAGGCUACGAUCAGUAGCUGGUCUGAGAGGAUGAUCAGCCACAUUGGGACUGAGACACGGCCCAAACUCCUACGGGAGGCAGCAGUGGGGAAUCUUGCGCAAUGGGCGAAAGCCUGACGCAGCCAUGCCGCGUGAAUGAUGAAGGUCUUAGGAUUGUAAAAUUCUUUCACCGGGGACGAUAAUGACGGUACCCGGAGAAGAAGCCCCGGCUAACUUCGUGCCAGCAGCCGCGGUAAUACGAAGGGGGCUAGCGUUGCUCGGAAUUACUGGGCGUAAAGGGGGCGUAGGCGGAUAGUUUAGUCAGAGGUGAAAGCCCAGGGCUCAACCUUGGAAUUGCCUUUGAUACUGGCUAUCUUGAGUUUGGGAGAGGUGAGUGGAACUCCGAGUGUAGAGGUGAAAUUCGUAGAUAUUCGGAAGAACACCAGUGGCGAAGGCGACUCACUGGCCCAAUACUGACGCUGAGGCUCGAAAGCGUGGGGAGCAAACAGGAUUAGAUACCCUGGUAGUCCACGCCGUAAACGAUGAGUGCUAGUUGUCGGCAUGCAUGCAUGUCGGUGACGCAGCUAACGCAUUAAGCACUCCGCCUGGGGAGUACGGUCGCAAGAUUAAAACUCAAAGGAAUU